rnacentral:rRNA from 1 species
GUUGUAUGGUUAAGUGACUAAGCGUACACGGUGGAUGCCUUGGCAGUUGGAGGCGAUGAAGGACGUACUAACUUGCGAUAAGCCUAGUCAAGCCAGUAAGAGGCGCUUGAGACUAGGAUUUCCGAAUGGGGAAACCCACCUGCUUGCAGGUAUCGUUAACUGAAUACAUAGGUUAACGAGGCGAACGCGGAGAACUGAAACAUCUAAGUACCCGUAGGAAAAGAAAUCAACCGAGAUUCCGAAAGUAGCGGCGAGCGAAAUCGGACCAGCCCUUAAGCUUUAGUGUAGUUAGUGGAACAUGCUGGAAAGCAUGACGAAACAGGGUGAUAGUCCCGUACACAAAAACUUAUCUAAAGUGAAAUCGAGUAGGUCGGAGCACGUGAAACUUUGACUGAAUAUGGGGGGACCAUCCUCCAAGGCUAAAUACUCCCAACUGACCGAUAGUGAACCAGUACCGUGAGGGAAAGGCGAAAAGAACCCCUGUGAGGGGAGUGAAAUAGAACCUGAAACCGUGUACGUACAAGCAGUAGGAGCCUACUUGUUGGGUGACUGCGUACCUUUUGUAUAAUGGGUCAGCGACUUAUAUUCUGUAGCGAGGUUAACCAUUUAGGGGAGCCGUAGCGAAAGCGAGUCUUAACUGGGCGCUUAAGUUGCAGGGUAUAGACCCGAAACCCGGUGAUCUAGCCAUGGGCAGGUUGAAGGUUGAGUAACAUCAACUGGAGGACCGAACCCACUAACGUUGAAAAGUUAGGGGAUGACCUGUGGCUAGGAGUGAAAGGCUAAUCAAACCGGGAGAUAGCUGGUUCUCCCCGAAAUCUAUUUAGGUAGAGCCUCGGACGAAUACUUACGGGGGUAGAGCACUGUUAAGGCUAGGGGGUCAUCCCGACUUACCAACCCUUUGCAAACUCCGAAUACCGUAAAGUACUAUCCGGGAGACACACGGCGGGUGCUAACGUCCGUCGUGGAGAGGGAAACAACCCAGACCGUCAGCUAAGGUCCCAAAGUGUAUGUUAAGUGGGAAACGAUGUGGGAAGGCUAAAACAGCUAGGAGGUUGGCUUAGAAGCAGCCACCCUUUAAAGAAAGCGUAAUAGCUCACUAGUCGAGUCGGCCUGCGCGGAAGAUGUAACGGGGCUAAACAUACCACCGAAGCUACGGCUGCGUACGUAAGUAUGCGGGGUAGGGGAGCGUUCUGUAAGUGGCUGAAGGUGUGCCGGGAGGCAUGCUGGACAUAUCAGAAGUGCGAAUGCUGACAUGAGUAACGACAAGAGGAGUGAAAAACUCCUCCGCCGGAAGACCAAGGGUUCCUAUCCCAUGUUAAUCAGGGUAGGGUGAGUCGACCCCUAAGGCGAGGCUGAAGAGCGUAGUCGAUGGGAAACGGGUUAAUAUUCCCGUACUCGGUAUGAAUGCGAUGGGGGGACGGAGCAGGCUAGGCAAGCAUGGCGUUGGUUGUCCAUGUGAAAGGCUGUAGGCUGGUGACUUAGGAAAAUCCGGGUUGCUAAGGCUAAGAGUCGAGACGAGCCACUAAGGUGGUGAAGUUGUUGAUGCCCUACUUCCAGGAAAAGCCUCUAAGCUUCAGUUCAUACUGAAUCGUACCCUAAACCGACACAGGUGGUCAGGUAGAGAAUACUAAGGCGCUUGAGAGAACUCGGGUGAAGGAACUAGGCAAAAUUGUACCGUAACUUCGGGAGAAGGUACGCUCUUGUUUGUGAAGGACUUGCUCUGUAAGCAAACGAGAGCCGCAGUGACCAGGUGGCUGGGACUGUUUAUUAAAAACACAGCACUGUGCAAAAUCGUAAGAUGACGUAUACGGUGUGACACCUGCCCGGUGCCGGAAGGUUAAUUGAUGGGGUUAGCUUAGGCGAAGCUCUUGAUCGAAGCCCCGGUAAACGGCGGCCGUAACUAUAACGGUCCUAAGGUAGCGAAAUUCCUUGUCGGGUAAGUUCCGACCUGCACGAAUGGUGUAACCAUGGCCACGCUGUCUCCACCCGAGACUCAGUGAAAUUGAAAUCGCAGUGAAGAUGCUGUGUACCCGCGGCUAGACGGAAAGACCCCGUGAACCUUUACUACAGCUUGGCACUGAACAUUGACCCUACAUGUGUAGGAUAGGUGGGAGGCUUUGAAGCAGAGACGCUAGUUUCUGUGGAGCCGACCUUGAAAUACCACCCUUGUAGUGUUGAUGUUCUAACUUAGGCCCCUGAAUCGGGGUUGAGGACAGUGCCUGGUGGGUAGUUUGACUGGGGCGGUCUCCUCCCAAAGAGUAACGGAGGAGCACGAAGGUUUGCUAAGUACGGUCGGACAUCGUACGGUUAGUGUAAUGGUAGAAGCAAGCUUAACUGCGAGACAGACACGUCGAGCAGGUACGAAAGUAGGUCAUAGUGAUCCGGUGGUUCUGAAUGGAAGGGCCAUCGCUCAACGGAUAAAAGGUACUCCGGGGAUAACAGGCUGAUACCGCCCAAGAGUUCAUAUCGACGGCGGUGUUUGGCACCUCGAUGUCGGCUCAUCACAUCCUGGGGCUGAAGUCGGUCCCAAGGGUAUGGCUGUUCGCCAUUUAAAGUGGUACGCGAGCUGGGUUUAGAACGUCGUGAGACAGUUCGGUCCCUAUCUGCCGUGGGCGUUUGAGAAUUGAGAGGGGCUGCUCCUAGUACGAGAGGACCGGAGUGGACGAACCGCUGGUGUUCGGGUUGUGAUGCCAAUUGCAUUGCCCGGUAGCUACGUUCGGAACUGAUAACCGCUGAAAGCAUCUAAGCGGGAAGCAGGCCUCGAGAUGAGUUCUCACUUUGACUUAGAGUCAACUGAAGGGCCGUUGAAGACUACAACGUUGAUAGGCGAGAUGUGGAAGUGCUGUGAGGCAUUAAGCUAACUCGUACUAAUUACCCGUGAGGCUUAACCAUACAACGCCAAAGUGGUUU